GCCUACGGGGGGCAGCAGUCGGGAAUAUUGCACAAUGGAGGAAACUCUGAUGCAGUGACACCGCGUAUAGGAAGAAGGUUUUCGGAUUGUAAACUAUUUUAGACAGGGAAGAAAAAAGACAGUACCUGUAGAAUAAGCUCCGGCUAACUACGUGCCAGCAGCCGCGGUAAUACGUAGGGGGCAAGCGUUAUCCGGAUUUACUGGGUGUAAAGGGAGCGUAGACGGCAGAGCAAGUCUGAAGUGAAAGCCCGCGGCCCAACCGCGGGACUGCAUUGGGAACUGGCGCGCUGGAGUGCCGGAGGGGG
rnacentral:rRNA from 1 species